rnacentral:SRP_RNA from 1 species
GGCUGGGUCCUGUGCGACUGAAGCCCGUGAACCGAGUCAGGGCCGGAAGGCAGCAGCUCUCAGCGGAGCCUUUAGAGUGCCGCAGAUCGCCUGGCCGUC